GCCAGCGAUGAUAACAUGUUGAAUACACCAGUUCCCAAAGAAUCACUAAAGUUAAGCAACGUUCCGCGUGGUUAACAUGAGUAUAGGUGACCAUCUGAGCCAUCGCUUGCUGCUGGUU
rnacentral:rRNA from 1 species